ACCGGCGCACGGGUGAGUAACACGUAUGCGACCUGCCCGACACAGGGGGAUAACCGGUAGAAAUGCCGACUAAUACCCCAUACACCCUCUGGGCUGCAUGGCCGGGAUGGGAAAGCCGCGAGGCGGUGUCGGAUGGGCAUGCGGCGCAUUAGCUAGUCGGCGGGGUAACGGCCCACCGAGGCGACGAUGCGUAGGGGUUCUGAGAGGAAGGUCCCCCACAUUGGUACUGAGACACGGACCAAACUCCUACGGGAGGCAGCAGUGAGGAAUAUUGGUCAAUGGGCGGGAGCCUGAACCAGCCAAGUCGCGUGAGGGAAGACGGUCCUACGGAUUGUAAACCUCUUUUGCCGGGGAGCAACGGGCGCCACGUGUGGUGCUGUGAGCGUACCCGGAGAAAAAGCAUCGGCUAACUCCGUGCCAGCAGCCGCGGUAAUACGGAGGAUGCGAGCGUUAUCCGGAUUUAUUGGGUUUAAAGGGUGCGUAGGCGGCGCCCCAAGUCAGCGGUAAAAAUGCGGUGCUCAACGCCGUACAGCCGUUGAAACUGGGGGGCUCGAGUGCGCCAGGAGCAUGCGGAAUGCGCAGUGUAGCGGUGAAAUGCAUAGAUAUUGCGCAGAACUCCGAUCGCGAAGGCAGCAUGCUAUGGCGGGACUGACGCUGAGGCACGAAAGCGUGGGGAUCGAACAGGAUUAGAUACCCUGGUAGUCCACGCAGUAAACGAUGAGCACUGACUGUGCG
rnacentral:rRNA from 1 species